UACGUAGGGUGCAAGCGUUAAUCGGAAUUACUGGGCGUAAAGCGUGCGCAGGCGGUUAUGCAAGACAGAUGUGAAAUCCCCGGGCUCAACCUGGGAACUGCAUUUGUGACUGCAUGGCUAGAGUACGGUAGAGGGGGAUGGAAUUCCGUGUGUAGCAGUGAAAUGCGUAGAUAUGCGGAGGAACACCGAUGGCGAAGGCAAUCCCCUGGACCUGUACUGACGCUCAUGCACGAAAGCGUGGGGAGCAAACAGG
rnacentral:rRNA from 1 species